GGCUCCGGCCCUAUCAGCUGAAAGGCGCCCGAUCUCGUCUGUGAUCUCGAAGCUAAGCAGGGUCGGGCCUGGUUAGGAUCUUGGAUGGGAGACCACCUGGGAUCCCGGGUGCUCGAGGCU
rnacentral:rRNA from 1 species